CGCGACGACAUCGAAAAUUCGGUCACUAUAAUAUACAUUUUUAUUACUACGAUUAUGUAUGAUUAUUUAUUACUAACGUGAUGGAUUAAUUUAUUAAUCCGCCUUAAAUAUUGUUAUCGUUUUCGUGAGGGCCGCCGCCGUCGAAUUCAACGACGAGCUAACGUUAUCGACGGCAUUCGGAAUAUUCGGACAUUUCGACGGCAGAAUUACGUAAUCGCUAACACGAGCGUCUAGAGCCUUGGCUAGUCUAACUGUCUAAGGCCGUGGUCUAGAGACAGCACAAGAGCAAAUAUCUUAUCAAUUAACAUAUCGUAUUUCUUUUCAAUUAUCAUUAUAUUAUAUCGCAAUCGCAAACCGUUUUUUCAGUUUUCAGUUUGAAAUUUUUAAAUUUUUUUUUGGGAGUUAAUUUGAUUUAUUCAAGUAUGUUCAAGUGCGCACAUUGUAAUCGCCAAUUUAGUAAAAAAUACAAUUUAAUCAGGCAUAUAAAAUUACACAUGGAGAGACGCACCAUUAAAACUUCAAGACCAUUGAUAGAUCCAGAAAUUGAAUUAAAUAUUAUAAAUAUGAAUUUUGUUUCAUUUCAGGAGUUUGAAGAAUGGAAAUCAAUUGAGGAGGUAAGUUGUUCGUCGCGGUUUGUUAAAAAAAGGGGAACAAGAUUUAACAAAGAUAAAACUGUAGCCACGAGUGUUUAUUAUUGCCAUCGUUCUGGAAAAGCUGGCUAACAAGUGAACGCGAAUUGUGACGGUCAGUGGCCAAGGGUAUUCCCCGCAAUAUUUGUUCGUUUUGACAUCUACUAUUUAAUACACAUUAUCACGUUCCAAAACGUGUUAAUGUCUGCACGAAUUUUUAAAAAAUUUUAUAUUCAAUUGGAAAAGCUUUGUAACAGAGAAAUCAUCUUUGAGUUGGACAUAGGAAAAUACGUAAAAACAGGUAGACUACUAAAUUUAGUGGAAACACAUUAUAGAGUAUGCAACAGAAAACAUAAGAUUACGUAUGCACAUGACCCAAGAAUGGAUGUGGAGUAUACGAAAUGUAUAUUCAGUCAUAUGCUACAAAAACAACGGUAUGAAAAUUUAGUUAAACAUUUUUGAAAUAUUAUUAUAUCCUAUGUGUAUAUUCAAUUAUUUAAUUUGGUAUAUGGGAAAAACGUAACAUUUGUGUGUAAUAGGUAUUAAUUAGUUGUUCACAAAUUCAUUUUAUUAUCUUAAUUGUAAUAAUCAAGGUGAAGGAGAUUUAAAUAUUAAAAAACUAUAUAAAUAAUAUAUAUUAUACUAACAUACUUUAUAUUGUAUUCUUAAUUGAUUUAAAUUUGAUAUAACUAACAUUAUUAUUAAGUGAUCAAUGUAAAAUUGAAAUUGAAAGUGUAACUGAGUGCAUUUAAGAAAAAAAUUGUAAGGAUUUCUGUCUUGCAGACAUUAACCUUUUUUUUUGUGGGGAGGUGUUAGGGGCUACGAGAUAUCAAGGCUAAGUUAGUAUGACCAUGACACAUGUCGGGAUAGUAAGCGCAUCAAUAAUUAUAGUGCACUAAUGAUGCAUUCACGAUGUUAUUGCACAUUAUCAAAUCCGGGUCUGAAUUUGCAACAACAACUAUAAGGAUACCUGGUUUCACCCAGAUGGCUACGACUCGAUGCAAACAAGAGACGCACCACAAUAUAUAAGGGAGCCCGAAGACAAGCAACGGCAGAUGUACCAAAGCUAUCAACACCUGAGCACUUUCACGACACUCAGCCACUUAUUUUAUUUGUUUCAUGUAUUUUGUUUAUACGUAAUAAAGACAUUAUUCGUUAUUAA